rnacentral:rRNA from 1 species
AUUAUUUUUGCGGCGGGACGGUAGAAGUUAAGCGUGGGAAACCCUACCUUUUUCAAAAAAGAUAGCCCUGGGGAAAUUGGGGAUUAAUACCAUUAGAUUAUUUUUUACUUCACAUGAAGUUAUUAUUCAAAGGAUAAAGCGGUAAAAGAUGGUUUCGCGUCCCCAUUAGUUAUUUGGUGAAGGUAACGGCUCACCAAGUCCAUGAUGGUUACCGGGCCUGAGAGGGGUGAACGGUCACACUGGAACGGAGACACGGUCCAGAUUCUUACGGGAGGCAGCAGGUGGGGGAAUAUGCCACAAUGGAGGAAACUCUGAUGCAGCGACGCCGCGUGAAUGAUGAAGGCAUUCGGGUUCGUAAAAUUUUGUCCCUAGGGGACGAUAAUGACGGUACCCUAGGAGGAAGCCCCGGCUAACUACGUGCCAGCAGCCGCGGUAAUACGUAGGUGGCAAGCGUUGUCCGGAUUUAUUGGGCGUAAAGCGAGCGCAGGCGGUUCUUUAAGUCUGAUGUGAAAGCCCACGGCUUAACCGUGGAGGGUCAUUGGAAACUGGAGAACUUGAAUACAGAAGAGGAAAGUGGAAUUCCAUGUGUAGCGGUGAAAUGCGUAGAUAUAUGGAGGAACACCAGUGGCGAAGGCGACUUUCUGGUCUGUUAUUGACGCUGAGGCUCGAAAGCGUGGGGAGCAAACAGGAUUAGAUACCCUGGUAGUCCACGCCGUAAACGAUGAGUGCUAAGUGUUGGAGGGUUUCCGCCCUUCAGUGCUGGAGCUAACGCAUUA